GGAGGGUGCGAGCGUUGUCCGGAAUCAUUGGGCGUAAAGGGCGCGUAGGUGGCCUGGCAAGCGUGCGGUGAAAGCUCGGGGCUCAACCCCGAGUCGGCCGUGCGAACUGCUGGGCUCGAGCACUGUAGAGGCAGGCGGAAUUCCGGGUGUAGCGGUGGAAUGCGUAGAGAUCCGGAAGAACACCGGUGGCGAAGGCGGCCUGCUGGGCAGUGGCUGACACUGAGGCGCGACAGCGUGGGGAGCAAACAGGAUUAGAUACCCUGGUAGUCCACGCCGUAAACGAUGGGCACUAGGCGCUUGGGGGAGCGACCCUCCGAGGGCCGGCGCUAACGCAUUAAGUGCCCCGCCUGGGGAGUACGGCCGCAAGGCUG
rnacentral:rRNA from 1 species